UACGUACUGUGCGAACGUUAUUCGGAAUCACUGGGCUUAAAGGGUGUGUAGGCGGCCCGAUAAGUAGGGUGUGAAAGGCUUCGGCUCAACCGGGGCAUUGCGCUCUAGACUGUCGGGCUCGAGUGAGACAGGGGUGUGCGGAACUUCCAGUGGAGCGGUGAAAUGUGUUGAUAUUGGAAGGAACGCCGGUGGCGAAAGCGGCACACUGGGUCUUGUCUGACGCUGAGACACGAAAGCCAGGGGAGCGAACGGG
rnacentral:rRNA from 1 species